UCUGCUCCAUGUGCCUCGCAAUCUGCUCCUGGGACCCAACAGCCACGUCAGCCGUGUUCUUCAUCUGACAAUGGAAGAAGAGCUCAAGAAGGCAAAUGUAAAUGCACAAGGCCCCUCGAGACCUAGGCAUACUCUCCUUUCUCCCAUGAAGCAAGUCACGUGGGUUAGGGAAAUAUAUUCUGCCUGUAUGGGAAGAACUCCAAAAUCACAUGAAAGCAGAAUAAAGAACCGGGUUCAAUCAUGCAAUCAGUCUACUACAGAUGAGCACACUGAGGUCCAGAGAGGAAUAAUGACUUGGCUACACUGACUUUGGGUCUCCUGGUUCCAAGUUCACAAGAAUGGCACUGCAAGAUGGAGGAACUAAAUGAAGAAGGAAAGGAGGUUGUUCUUCAAUUGGUGACUCAGGAAUUCAGAUUCUUUCCAGCUUGGGAUGCUGCUAUCUUCAGCUUGUAGCCUCCAAGGUCAUUGCUGAAGGAGAUGAGAGUCAAAGGCUGUUCUGUGAGAGAAAGCUUUCUCUGGAUGGCUCCAGUAAGCAGACCAAUGAUAUUUGGAAAGUGGACAUUACCAAAAGGUUGUGUGGAUUUGGGAGCCAUGAGAACUUGCCCAAGGGGUGGCCACAACAAGAAGAGAUUUCUUGCAGGACUCUUGGGAUAUGGCGUAUGAGUGGUACCCAUCCUGUGGACUUUGCUCCUGGGUCCUGUAAAAAGAUCUGCUGAAUUUGAUGCCUGAUGUUGAUCUCCAGUUUUGAUUUUUGCUUCCCUGAUCAACACAGUUCAGGCUCUCUGCCUGGCUGCACUUCUUUCGUUUGCCCCAAGUAAGCCUGAUGGACAGGGGAGCAAGUGCAAACAACAGAGCCUGUGUCACCGUUCACGCUGACUCAGUGUCCUCCAGAACGCCCUCCUCGCUGGAAUCCAGUCUGCAGAUGCUCUAUGAAAAGUCUUCAUGCUGUGUUUUGGGGCCUCCGGGACUAGUCUACAGGGCUUACCUCCCACCCAUCACUGGGAGCCUAUCUGCUCAGACUGGAUGGAUUUCUUUUCCAACCCACUGCCUCAUCACUGCAUCCUACCUCCCUCCGAGCCCCCUGGAGUUGAUCUUCUGCUUGCUUCAGCCCUCCCUUAGAUGCAGCUCCCUGGCCAGUCCCAUGCAAACCUUGCCACCCGCCCUGCUUCCUGAACCCUAGCCCAGGGCUGGGGCUCAGGUCCACACGUGAGCAGGAGAAUCUGCUUAUUUGCACAGUUCCUAUUGGUAGCAAAGCCUUAUGGAAUCUAGGGCAAGUGGUACUUACAUAAAAUCAUUUCGCGUUAACCCAUAGCAACUCUGUCGAAUAAGCAAAGGUCCUUAUUCUCAUUUUCAGAUGAGGGAUAAAGACUAAAGGAACCUACCCAAGGCCAUGGGGCUUUUAAGUGGCAGAGCCGGAACUGACGCUCAUCUCUGUGCUGGGAGCACAGUACCGUACUGGCUCCUAAUUUGGAAAACUGGCAGGACCCUGAGAGAAGGCUUUGGGAACUGGCCUGCUCCAAAGGCAGACUCCUAUCUCAUAAAGACUGAUUUUUCUCUUUCUGCUAAUUAUUGCAGCAUAGAACUAAGGGAAAGGGAUUGUAUGUCUCACUCCUGGCUGUCAGAAAGUUUGUGAUAGGUUUUGGGUAUUCAUCUCUUAUGUUCUACUUCCUAGACCAAAGGAAAUGAAGGAAUCUCCACCAACUGGUGUUUUAAGGUCACCAAAAUUAGAACAAAAUGUCCUCAGGUGAAAUGAUCCAUGUCCACAUACAUAUUAGAGCUGCACAUGGGACACGAACUUGUCACCCAGAGGAACAUGGAAACAUCCACUCGACUUCCUUCCUCAGAGCAAGUGUGUGCCCACUUGCUGAGGGUGGCAGAGGGAGGGGUGGUGUUCCCCGCUGCACGCGUCCAUGGAGCCCCAGGCCUGUCCCUGCGGAGGUGAGCAGAGGAGCAUUCUCACAUCAGCUGGCACCGACUUCGGCACCGACUCCCUGCGUCCUGGUGUUGUUGGCAACCAUCCCACAAACCCUUCCCGUGAUCCGCUAACAUCCGCCCAAGAUACUGCAGAGAAAUAAGUACCCUGCCCCUAAUGAAUCUCCAGGAUCCUUCCGAUCAACUCAGCCAUUUCUGAGAAUUCUGGGGCAGCCCCAAUGUAGAAGCUAUGAAAAUAGCUUAGGUUUGUAGCAUAUGUCUUUUAGCCUGGGAGUUGUACCAGGAGGUUUUUUUUAUAACCUUCCAUUUGCUUCGGGGACCAAGGCUUGAAACUAGCUUAAGGACUUAGAUGAAACAAAUUCUCAAGUCUCAGCUGAAAUCUGGAAGCAGGUGAUCUACCAUCUGGAGUACCUAACUGCUAAUGCAAACUAAGUGCUUUCUCAUCCUUUCAAAAACCAUGUUGUCAGUCUGAAAGAGGAAGAGAAAACCCAAGGAGGUUUGAUGAUGCUUACAAGUCAGUUUCCUGCCUUCUUUCUCCAUAGUUCUUCUGACCCCUUAGGCUUCUCGUUUUAGAAACUACACUAUAAAUAUGAACAGGAGUAAUCAUACUGCUUGAGAUUACAUUGAGUUCCUCCUCAACAGCACUCACAGGUGCUUUCUGAAUCGCCUCACUGUCCUCCGGGUGCGUGGAUGGGCCAUGCGGAGGUCCACUGUACUGCAGGUUUGCCCUUCGGUGGUUUGAAUUCCCCUUUGCCACAUCUAGAAGGCAGCCACCAUAUUCCCUCUUAAUCUGCUGUUCCCCUCACUCUCCCAUGCCCCCACCCAUCCAAACCCAAAGUCUUGUAUAGGCAGGUACAGUACAGGAGUGGGGGCAGUGCUGGAAGGAGGACUAUGUGAUCAGAAUAAAGAAAAAGAGAGGGUGCUUUUUCAUUCCCCUCCUGAAGUCAUGAUAAAAAAAAGUCUCUACAGAAAUCAGGUCCCAGUCCUCUGUAAAAUAAAGGAUUUGAAGGUGCAGUUCUCUGAAGUUCCUACCAGCUGUGGUGAUGACCAUUCCAUGGAUAUUCCACGACUCAUUUUUGGAUC